rnacentral:rRNA from 1 species
AGAGUUUGAUCAUGGCUCAGAACGAACGCUGGCGGCAGGCCUCAAACAUGCAAGUCUAGGGGGUGUAGCAAUACACCACCGGCGGACGGGUGCGUAACACGUGGGAAUAUACCUUUCGGUACGGAACAACUGAGGGAAACUUCAGCUAAUACCGUAUACGUCCUAACGGAGAAAGAUUUAUCGCCGAAGGAUUAGCCCGCGCUCGAUUAGCUAGUUGGUGAGGUAAUGGCUCACCAAGGCAACGAUCGAUAGCUGUUCUGAGAGGAAGAUCAGCCACACUGGGACUGAGACACGGCCCAGACUCCUACGGGAGGCAGCAGUUGGGAAUCUUGGACAAUGGGGGAAACCCUGAUCCAGCCAUGCCGCGUGAGUGAUGAAGGCCUUCGGGUUGUAAAGCUCUUUUACCCGGGAAGAUAAUGACUGUACCGGGAGAAUAAGCUCCGGCUAACUUCGUGCCAGCAGCCGCGGUAAUACGAAGGGGGCUAGCGUUGUUCGGAAUUACUGGGCGUAAAGCGCGCGCAGGCGGUUUUUCAAGUCAGUGGUGAAAGCCCGGAGCUCAACUCCGGAACUGCCAUUGAAACUGUGAAACUUGAGGACGAGAGAGGUGAGUGGAAUUCCCAGUGUAGAGGUGAAAUUCGUAGAUAUUGGGAAGAACACCGGUGGCGAAGGCGGCUCACUGGCUCGUUUCUGACGCUCAGGCGCGACAGCGUGGGGAUCAAACAGGAUUAGAUACCCUAGUAGUCC